CCUACGGGUGGCAGCAGUAGGGAAUAUUGCUCAAUGGGGGAAACCCUGAAGCAGCAACGCCGCGUGGAGGAUGAAGGUUCUCGGAUUGUAAACCCCUUUUGUUAGAGAAGAUAAUGACGGUAUCUAACGAAUAAGCACCGGCUAACUCCGAGCCAGCAGCCGCGGUAAUACGGAGGGUGCAAGCGUUAUUCGGAAUCACUGGGCGUAAAGGGCGCGUAGGCGGGAUAGCAAGUCAGGUGUGAAAUCCGAUGGCUUAACCCUAGAACUGCAUUUGAAACUGUUAUUCUAGAGUAUGGGAGGGGUAGGUGGAAUUCGUUGUGUAGGGGUGAAAUGCGUAGAGAUCAAGAGGAAUACUCAUUGCGAAGGCGACCUGCUAGAACAUAACUGACGCUGAGGCGCGAAAGCGUGGGGAGCAAACAGGAUUAGAUACCCGGGUAGUC
rnacentral:rRNA from 1 species